AAUUAAAUUUAAUUAAAUUAAUUAUAAAUUAUUAAAUGUUAAAUCAUUAAAUUUAAAAGAUUUGGCGGUAUUUUAGAAAGUUAGAGGAACCUGUAUAGUAAUUGAUAAUCCACAAUAAGAUAUACUUAAUUAAAAGUUUAUGUAUUGCUGUUUAAAGAUUAUUAAUAAAUAAGUUUUUAAAUUUUUAUAUAUAAAUAAAUUCAAGUCAAAAUAUAAUUUAGUUAAGAUUAAUAUGGGUUACAAUUAUUUAUAUAAAUAAUAAUAAUGAAUAAAUAAAUUUAAUUUUAUUUUAAAAGUGGAUUUAAUAGUAAAUUUAAUAAAUAAAUUAUUUUGAAAUAAAAUAAUAAAAUAAGU
rnacentral:rRNA from 1 species